rnacentral:rRNA from 1 species
AAACUUAAAUGAAUGGACGGGGGCCCGCACAAGCGGUGGAGCAUGUGGUUUAAAUUCGAAGCACGCGAAGAACCUUACCAGGUCUUGACAUUCCUCUGAAAACCCUAGAGAUAGGGGCUUCUCCUUCGGGAGGCAGAGUGACAGGUGGUGCAUGGUUGUCGUCAGCUCGUGUCGUGAGAUGUUGGGUUAAGUCCCGCAACGAGCGCAACCCUUGGAUCUUAGUUGCCAUCAUUAAGUUGGGCACUCUAAGGUGACUGCCGGUGACAAACCGGAAGAAGGUGGGGAUGACGUCAAAUCAUCAUGCCCCUUAUGACCUGGGCUACACACGUGCUACAAUGGACGGUACAAAGAGCUGCAAGACCGCGAGGUGGAGCUAAUCUCAUAAAACCGUUCUCAGUUCGGAUUGUAGGCUGCAACUCGCCUACAUGAAGCUGGAAUCGCUAGUAAUCGCGGAUCAGCAUGCUGCGGUGAAUACGUUCCCGGGCCUUGUACACACCGCCCGUA